UUAAGUAUAGUUCGUCGUCUUUUGUUUCUCCAUUCACGCAUGGGGUCUUUUUUUUUUUUUGUCUCCUUUUACUUUUUAAAUUUUUUCCUUCAACUAUACAAUAAUAAAAUAAAAUAAACUAAAUAAUAAUUAAUUCAUUUUUGUCUGAAAACGGAUAUCUGUUUCACUGCAAAAUCACUUCUCUACAGAGUUUUUGUCAUUCGGUUUGGUGGAAGAAGGGUCACAUUUUUACAUUGCUUUCUAUGAUGUUGAAUGGGCAAGAUCUAAUAAGUUAUUCUGCGGUAGUACCCAUAAAUUUAAUAAAUUGUCAGUGGGUAUUGCUAAACUAGUAAAAGCCACUGGUUUUUUUUUGCAUACCAUUUUAUGAUAAUUUUGACAAUAGCAACUGCAAGUAGUACGUAACAUUGACAUCAUAUCAAUGGUUAUUUUAAGUACAUUAAUCUAUAUU